rnacentral:rRNA from 1 species
GUGGCAGACGGGUGACGUACGCGUGGGAACCUGCCCUGUGGUACGGAAUAGCUCUGGGAAACCGGAGGUAAGAGCGUAUACGCCCUACGGGGGAAAGAUUAUCGCCAUAGGAUGGGCCCGCGUCAGAUUAGCUUGUUGGUGGGGUAACGGCCUACCAAGGCUACGAUCUGUAGCUGGUCUGAGAGGAUGAUCAGCCACACUGGGACUGAGACACGGCCCAGACUCCUACGGGAGGCAGCAGUGGGGAAUCUUGGACAAGGGGCGAAAGCCUGAUCCAGCCAUGCCGCGUGAGUGAAGAAGGCCCUANGGUUGUAAAGCUCUUUCAGCGGGGAAGAUAAUGACGGUACCCGCAGAAGAAGCCCCGGCUAACUUCGUGCCAGCAGCCGCGGUAAUACGAAGGGGGCUAGCGUUGUUCGGAAUUACUGGGCGUAAAGCGCGCGUAGGCGGACUGGCCAGUCAGGGGUGAAAGCCCGGGGCUUAACCUCGGAACUGCCCUUGAUACUGCCAGUCUAGAGUCCGGCAGAGGUGAGUGGAAUUCCUAGUGUAGAGGUGAAAUUCGUAGAUAUUAGGAAGAACACCAGUGGCGAAGGCGGCUCACUGGGCCGAGACUGACGCUGAGGCGCGAAAGCGUGGGGAGCACACAGGAUUAGAUACCCUGGUAGUCCACGCCGUAAACGAUGGAUGCUAGCCGUUGGGCAGCAUGCUGUUCAGUGGCGCAGCUAACGCAUUAAGCAUCCCGCCUGGGGAGUACGGCCGCAAGGCUUAAACUCAAAGGAAUUGACGGUGGCCCGCACAAGCG